CCUGCCAAGCCUCUUUAAUAAUGCCCAAAUCGGCGGGU
rnacentral:sRNA from 12 species